AGACUCUCAAAACAAGUUCUCAAGUUUUAAAAGUAACAAUUAAGUUUAAUAAUGGCGAUUAACGUUAACAACAUCUAUAAGUAAUAUUACGACAGGUAAAGUAAUAAGUCUUGAUGUACAUGAUUGAGCAUGAAUAUCUACAGUUCACAGAAAUUUGAAAUAGAAUUUACGAAUUCACUCAAUUGCUAGUGAAGUACUAGUUUACUGUACUCGGCAGUCUUGAUUAAAAAAAUAUGACCAUAAAUCUUCUCAAUGAUUUACAAUUGAAGCUAUGUAAAUGUUGGAUAGAAUUUCCUCAAGGAAUUUAUGUAAGGAAGCUUAAGCUCUAAUCAAGUUAUAAGGAUACGAAAGUCAACCUAAGCUCAAUUUGGUUACAAACAUCGAUUUCUGCUCGUGCUUAAUUAAAUUUCAUCCUUAAAACACAACAUUUAACGCACUUUUCAUAUACAACACUUUGUUUGGAAUCAACAAAACUGGAUUCAUUUACAGGAUUUAAAUCCCCGUAAUACACUCUACAAACAGUUCCAUUCAAUAGAUUCUUCGACUGGAUGCUGGAAACUGCUAUACUCAAUAGCAGAACAAUGAACUAAGCAGUUAUGGUGGGAAUUGUACCAUAUCCAAGUCGGACGCCUUGUUGAUUUGAAGUUGGAAGCAGUUGGUCCUUGCAUCUAUUACUUAGACAUCUUCUAAAUUCUCAUUUGAAGGAACUUGGGAAUUUACAUUCAAACAAUUUGUGUUAGAUGUCGAAAUAUCUUAUCUCUUGUUGCCCAUAUAAUGUGUGUGAAUCUAGCCGAUGAUGUUACGGAAGACUAAAUGGGUUUGAAAUUGUAAUGACAAAUUGUCUGUCAUGGUUUAACCUCAACUGGUUACUACACUCUUAUCUUAAUCAUUUACAACACCGUUAGAGGAAAUAUAUAAAAUUAGUUGAGUAAAUUCUUUAAGAUUUCACCCACUCUUUAUAAUGUGAAUUUGCUGUGGGCUUUGUCUGCCUUAUGUGUCAAGAGCUCAGUCGAAUAAUGGUUGAUGCUGAUCCAAGUUGUUUUUGUAUCAACUGUAUUGAUUAGCCUUACAUAGGUGAUCUAACAUAUUCUUUAAGGGAUUAUUGAUAUGAUUAGCCAUAUAUGGUUGAUGCAACAUAUUUUUGAACCUUUGUUACAUUUGCA
rnacentral:lncRNA from 1 species